CUGGAGGAAGGUGGGGAUGACGUCAAGUCAUCAUGGCCCUUACGACCAGGGCUACACACGUGCUACAAUGGCAUAUACAAAGAGAAGCGACCUCGCGAGAGCAAGCGGACCUCAUAAAGUAUGUCGUAGUCCGGAUUGGAGUCUGCAACUCGACUCCAUGAAGUCGGAAUCGCUAGUAAUCGUAGAUCAGAAUGCUACGGUGAAUACGUUCCCGGGCCUUGUACACACCGCCCGUCACACCAUGGGAGUGGGUUGCAAAAGAAGUAGGUAGCUUAACCUUCGGGAGGGCGCUUACCACUUUGUGAUUCAUGACUGGGGUGAAGUCGUAACAAGGUAACCGUAGGGGAACCUGCGGUUGGAUCACCUCCUU
rnacentral:rRNA from 1 species